rnacentral:lncRNA from 1 species
AUCAUGAGAAAGAAGGCUGCCUAAGGCAGCAGGCUGGUCCCCCUCGAUCUCCCCUCCGGGAUGCUGCCUCCUCCUGGGGGCCUCUGGUGGCUAAGGCUGAAGCACAGCCUGGAAACAAUGCCGCGUCUGCAGAGAAGGCCUCUCCUUCCACCAGCCCCGUCUGGGAGGCACGGCAGGCCAAAGGCUGUUUAUUCUAUCUUCCAGAUGAGGAAACCGAGGCUCAGGAAGGGGGAGGAUUAGCUAAGGUCACAUGGCUAAGGUCAGGCUAGGACUGGAGAUGAGUCACAUUCAACAUUUUUCUGCAAAGAUGCAAAGAGGCAUUUUAGGGGGAGGCUAAGACAAUGCCUUGAAAUUCAUGGCGAAGGUCUCUGGCCUGGGCCAUCGGAACCCACGGUAAGCCAGCUCUCCCACGAUGAAUCAGCCUGUCAAGAGCCCUGCUUUCCAGAGCAAGACCCACCCAGGGGAUCCUGUUUCCAGAAGCCCAGCCCAUUUCUCACUUCAUUUGCAUGUAUCCGCAUCAAGUACAACCUAUUCACAGGCUCUACUCCCAGUUCCCUCUGGCCACUUGGGAAUGCCACCCAAAGCAGAGAUAAGUGUGGUCCACCCUUCCCCUGCAGAAGAGGCGACAAGUACCAGAGCUGAAAAUUGAAAAGCCUUCUGGAGAGUGGGGUGCUGAGGGGCGCCAAUGCAUGAAGGCCAGAAGGAAGGAGAGCCCUGAGCUGCUGUCCUUGAUGGGGUGCUGGGUGUCCCCGAUACUCAGGAAUGACAUGCAUAGGUCCUGGCCCCUGCCCCCACAACCCUGGCGAACUCUAGGGCAUGUGCUGGGGCUCUUCUCCCCCUCCCAUCAGGCUGCCUGGCAGGCAAACGGAUACUGCACUUCUCAACCUGUGCCACCUGGUGCCAUCCUCUCCCUCUAGAAGCAGUGAGCUGGGGAAGAGCCAACAGCAUCUGGGGCCACUUAAGGGGAGCGGGUGUCUGGGGGCACCCUAUGUGAGACUCUGUUCCCUCAUAACAUAAG